rnacentral:lncRNA from 1 species
GUGGAGACUGCAUGCAGCUACAGUCUCCCCAUCCCCAUGGUAACAAGGAAAAUGAAAAGAAAGGGAGAGGUCACGACUAAGAGUCAACUAGGAUGGAAGAAAUUCUUCUCUGCUGAUGAAUCAGGUUUUCUCGGCUACUGAACUUCCCUGUUUUUAAUGAAGUCUGUAUGUGGUGGUUGGAUGAAUUCUUAUCUCCAUGCCCAAAGACGAUAUUCUCUGAAAACUUUGAAAAUCAUUUUAACUCAUAGAUUCUUUGAUAGAAAGAGGCACUGAGGAAGCAUAAAUCACCUACUAAGAGGUAAGCUUCAUGACAGGUCCUUGAGGCUAAACAUGAAUGAAGCUUUGUUCUUUUUCUGGAGCCACCACAGUGUUGAUCAUGUCUGUCUUUCCAAGUCUAUACAAAGGUAAUAACUUGAGUGGCA